UACGUAGGGGGCAAGCGUUGUCCGGAUUUAUUGGGCGUAAAGAGCGUGUAGGCGGCCAGGUAGGUCAGCUGUGAAAACUCGAGGCUCAACCUCGAGACGCCGAUGGAAACCAUCUGGCUAGAGUCCGGAAGAGGAGAGUGGAAUUCCCGGUGUAGCGGUGAAAUGCGCAGAUAUCAGGAAGAACACCCGUGGCGAAGGCGGCUCUCUGGUACGUGACUGACGCUGAGACGCGAAAGCGUGGGGAGCAAACAGG
rnacentral:rRNA from 1 species